rnacentral:tRNA from 2 species
GGAUGUGUGGCAGAGCGGCAAAUGCACCUGAUUGUAAAUCAGAGGAGUUGUACUCUACGUAGGUUCGAGUCCUACCGCAUCCA